GGAGAGAUGGCCGAGUUGGUUAUGGCGUCAGGUUAAGGAUCCUAGGCGUGGGUUCGAAUCCCACUCUCUUCA
rnacentral:tRNA from 1 species